UGGAGAGAAGUCAGAGAUGGCCUUUUCUGAGGAGUGACAUGCUCAGAAUCGAAUAAAAAGAGCAGGAGCAGCCUUUCAAGAUAGGAAAAAAAAGUAUAUUUAUAUGCUGAGGAGAAGAAUCCAGUUGAAGGGGAAUACUGUGGCUUCAGGAGACAGGAAAACUGCCUAAGCCACAUCCUUCAGCAAUAAAAGGAAAGGUCAUUGGCUAAGAAUGAAGAUGGACGCGCAGGUGCUGGGAGUCAUCGAAGAGAAUGAAAGAAUGAAUAAAAUAGAGAAAAAUACAAUGCUAUUAUAUAAACCUAUACAUUUAAAUUACUUUCCUCUUCAAAUUAGACCCCCUGGAAGGCAAAUCUCUGUCAUGUUAAGUUUUAGGAAAAGUCAUAAUCUACUUGGAGCUAAGUAUGAAGAAUAAGGUAUAUGAUUUAAACCACAUAAUUCUAUUUUUGCUUAAACCGGGGAAGCCUUUAAGGUAACGUAGAGUGUACCCAUUAAAAAAGAUAAAAAUGUCAGCUUCCCCUUCCCUUUAAAUAUAGUAAGGCUCAAAGGUAAUUGAUGUUCAUAACCCUAAGGUACUAUAACAGUCUGAAGCAAAAUAUUAAAUGUCUUCUGUAGUAUUUUAGUUAACUUUUAAUUUUAUUGGUAAUUUAUGUGUAGUUAACCACAUACUUGUGCCUCAACUAUUUCACAUAAAUGUGAGAUGUCUUAGGCCUCUUUGAACUCUGCAUGGAAAAGAAUGCUGAGGAGGUAUGUCUGUUUAAGCUGCCACUGCCUGCCUCUCAUAAAUAAUAUCUCACAUUGCAUAAUAGCCCAGAUAAACUGCAGAUCGCUUAGAGCCUGAUAAAUGAGAGGAAACUGUACAGUUUGUUUUCCAAAUUGCCCUUGGACAGCUAAUUCACAAUUUACUAUUUUAUAGCUGUAAGAUUUUAAAAAUAUAAAAUAACAUAGCUGUAAAUACAGAUUAUCAGAAGAUAGUCUGUAAAAAUGUAAAUAUAAUAUAGCUGUAAAUAUACACUAUCGGAAGUACCAAAUCUAGUUUUAGUAGGUAGAGGCAUCAAGUAAAAUGGAAAUGAAAGAUGUUUCAAGGAAAACUCCAGGACAUCUGUGGCAGUACUAAAGAAACCUUCCUUCUCAGGUUCCCAGCAUGCUAUUUUAUUGAU
rnacentral:lncRNA from 1 species